rnacentral:rRNA from 1 species
GACGAACGCUGGCGGCGUGCCUAAUACAUGCAAGUAGAACGCUGAAGGAGGAGCUUGCUUCUCUGGAUGAGUUGCGAACGAGUGAGUAACGCGUAGGUAACCUGCCUGGUAGCGGGGGAUAACUAUUGGAAACGAUAGCUAAUACCGCAUAAUAGCAGUUGUUGCAUGACAACUGUUUGAAAGGUGCAAUUGCACCACUACCAGAUGGACCUGCGUUGUAUUAGCUAGUUGGUGGGGUAACGGCUCACCAAGGCGACGAUACAUAGCCGACCUGAGAGGGUGAUCGGCCACACUGGGACUGAGACACGGCCCAGACUCCUACGGGAGGCAGCAGUAGGGAAUCUUCGGCAAUGGACGGAAGUCUGACCGAGCAACGCCGCGUGAGUGAAGAAGGUUUUCGGAUCGUAAAGCUCUGUUGUAAGAGAAGAACGAGUGUGAGAGUGGAAAGUUCACACUGUGACGGUAUCUUACCAGAAAGGGACGGCUAACUACGUG